UAGUAUAUAACGUUACCUGAGAGAAUAAUUUAUUAAAAGCCUAUUUAAAAAAGUACCCUAAAUUACAUUUUGCUGGGAGGAAAACUCUUAAUGUGUAAGUUACCACGUUGUUUAUAUUCUCAUCCGCUUGACUUUACCUGUUACAUAAAUUAUGCGUUAUUAAUAAGGUGUACAACAAAAUUUUAUCUUUCAAAUUCGUUAAACUAACUUACGUUAAGCAUUUUAGAAAGUCCCAUGUGAACAUAAUAAGAGUUUGCUUAACAUUUCGUUUUACAAACGACUUCAACGUAUGAGCGUAUGUUAUGUGUGUGGUGGCCAAAAAAACGGAAAAAAAAACAUUAUAUUUUAAAUCUGAAUAUGUUCAAACAUUAUUAACAUUAACAAAAGGCUGAAACCUAAUUUGCAUAAAAUAAAGUUUUAAAAUGUGUUUUUGUUUUGUAUUAAAUUGCUUUUGAGGCCAAGGUAGCUGUACAGUAAAUAUUCAGCCUCGAUCAGAAAACCACGUCACACUGUCAUAACACACAGACAUGUGGCGAUAGUGCAGUGAUUCGAGUAGAGUAUCUACUCUGGUUAUCAUUUCAAAACAGUAUUUACUGAAAAAUAUGAAUGUUUAGCAUCAUGUAUUAAAUGUGUUAAAUAUGUCCUUUUUUCCCUGCAUUUAUUCUGCUGUCUAAAAUUCUUUGGGAGGAUAAAUUAAGGAGGAUGUAACAAAAUACACUGCAAGAACUGGAAUGAGAGACAAGUGAGGAUGAAGAGGACAACAGAAUAUCCAUCCUUUCUUCACCACCUCACAGAGUUUGAGUGAAACAACUUGUAUUAGGACUCACAGGAUUAUUUUAUAACAAGACUGAUUAUCUUAUACCAGAAGUUUGGUAUUUUUUUUUGAAGCUACUGUAUUAUUUCUUAUGACAAUUCAUUUUGAUGUGCAUUCAGAACUGUAAGUUGGUAAGUACAUUUACUGUAUUUACUGUAAGUAAAGGCUAAAGAGUAUAUCUCCUCUAGUUCUAAGUUCUAGUUCUAAGUUCUAACAACGUUCCCAAAGGUCCCAAUAAUGUUAAGCCAACAUAAAAGUGUCCAGUUUUUAAAUUGUUUAGGAAUGUUUCUUGAUUGUGCAAAUGUUAGAGGAAUGUUGCAUUUUAUUUUUAGACAAUGUCAUGUUUAAAUGUACUCACAAUGUUUAAAAAACAUGUCUAAUAUAUUUUAUGAAUGUUUACAUGCAAUAUUUUAACAGAACAUUAAGAAAUAAUGUUUUACAACAGUUUGUAAAUAAUAGAAUGUAAUGUUUUUUAUCAUUACAAGCAAAAACAUUCAUAACGUUAUUGGGAACUUUGGGAACUUUCAAGGAACGUUCUUAGAACCUUUCUCUGUGGUUGAGCAUUGUGUUAGCAUCAUAAAACGCCAUAGGUUCGAACAAGGAAAGCACAUGCUGAUAAAAAAUUUAUACUUUGCAUUGCACUGUAUGUUAUUUGCCUUUUUCUGUAAAUGUGAAGAUAAAUGUAAAGACAGACAGUCAUUGUUUCAUUUUAAACCAGUUCUAUUUUAAGAGAACUUAACUAGACUAAAUAAAAGGGUCACAAAAGUUUUAAUUUUGCUAUUAUGAUGCUGAUUUUGUGGUGUUAUGGGUUUUCUGGUUACAGUGGUAGUGGAUCAUGAUCACCUCUCUAGCUUCAAAAGUAGGAUGCAAAAUGUAUAACACCAAAUCAUUAUAGCAUAACUCCAUGUAACUUGACAUAAUUUAAAGUCGUCUAAAGACAGACAUGAUUGCGUGUGAAGUCCUAUGCCAAAGACUCUCCAAAUACUGCAUCUACACAUUCUUCCUGAUGUGUAUAUUUUGUUGGUAUAUCCUGGUUGUUGCAGACCUGACAGUAAACUUGACUGUGAGCAUCCUAUCCAUCAGGUAUAGCUGUUUACUUGCAUUACUCGUUUAGAUAAAUGACGGGUCAAAAUUGAUUAUAUGGAUUAUAUUUUCAUCACCUCUUUUUGUAUGUCUUUGGGACACUUGAAAUAUAUAGCACGUAUAAUGUGGAGCCAUAUGCGGUCACAGACUACUCCCAUUGUAACUGGAAAACCAAAGAAAAUCAUUGUUUAAAUUAUACAAUUAUAAUUUUUGGAUUAACUAAACCUGUAAUCAGUGUUAUACGUAUGUAUGUUUAUAAUUUGUGUUAUUUUAAAUGUAUUACUGCAAAUGAUUUGAAAUGUGUAUGUUUCAAAUGUAAUUUCACACAACUUCUUAAAGUAUUUGUAUUGUUUUAAAUAAAGGCUUCAAUAUUUGAAA